UCAACACAAAUACGAUUAAUAGUUUCUUUACUAUAUAGUCAAUAAGCUAAUACUUUCUUGUUUAUUGCCAUUGUAUGCAUUUACACAUGACAAAGGAAAAACAGUACAUUAAAUGUCUUCACACCUUGAACUACUCCUUGGUCGACGCCUUUUGACCAAAAGAAAAAACUAAACAUUAAAUGUCUUCAAACUCCUUGAUCAUCGCCAUUUGUGAUUGUUCAAGAACCUUGUCCUAUUUUCAAGAGGAAAAAAUAAAAGAUCAAAGUCCAACAAAGAACAAAAAUUCCAACAAGAUGAACUAUUUAGUUACAUGGACGUUGUUAUAAGUUAAAAGACACUUUUGCAUUUCCACAUAAAAAAUAUCUUAAAUAAUUUUGCAUUCUCAAAGUGGUAGUAGAUUUAAGUCAUCCACCACCAUUCUUUCUGGAAGUGGAGGGUGCUCACCACUAGAGUAACCCACUCUUGUCAACAUAGUAUAGUGGGAAAAUAGCAUUUACUCAUCCAACACCAUUUUUCCUGCUGUUACGAACUGUGUACAUAAUAACCUGAACCCUUACUAGUUUAUCUUGAGUUGACAUGUUCCAUGCGACAUAGGCUGAGUUCUAGAUAUAAAUGCUAUUGUCGUCCCACAAAAUAUGAAAUUGAUCAAACAUAAGUGAGUAUAUAUCAAUAAAACCAAACCAACCCACCCCUCACUACCAAAAAAGGAACUGCAUCCACGAAAUAUAAGAAGUGCAAUGAAACAGGAGAAUGUAGAUGUUAAGAAUUAGCAGCAACCAAGCCUCUAUGUCUUGUCAUCAGAAUACCUUUAGAACUAGCUUCGCCUUAAUUUUCUAGUGCAUGUACUCAUCACCUGGCUUGACACUUCCAUGUCAAAUGGGUAUGAUAUGUAUGUUAAUAAUUCAAACAGAUGGUUCAAUAUCACUUACGAUCUAUUUUGACGGAGACAUUUUGGCUGUAAGAGGAGAUUUCAUACCAAUAGAUUUCAAAUUUUUAAAUACUACAAAAAUUCAUGUAGUAGAGAGGUCUCCUAGUCAUGGGAGUUGCCUAAGCAAAGAAAUGUAAGUUCGGCGAAAUAAUAAGUAAAAAAUCAGAACUCAUGUCUCUAGGUUGAAAUGUACAUCACGUUAUCAAUGUUAAGGACAACGCACUUCUAUAAAUCUCUGAAGAAACAACCAUAGAACGACAGUGGUAACUUACUUGUCGAAUUAUUGCACGCGCAUAGGUAGAAGACAAUAUGAAGUUUCCGUGGAAUCAUCGAUAAACAAACUUUUUUCACCACUAGCCUUAAAUAUCAAUAGAUGUAUAAAAGAACUCCUUGUAACAACAGGAGUAAUCCAAUCAGUUUUAUUCAUUAAAAACAAACCAAAACUACUUCCCAGUCAAGUAUCUACACUAACUAAAACUACUUCUCAGUGGCGGAGCCACCCUUACCCAAGGGGUGUUAAUCGACACCCUAUCGCCGGAAAAUAACACCAUAGUAGAUAGAUAUUUUAGAUAUGUUUUUCUUAAAAAUUGAAUAUUUACAAGGGGUUGACAACCCUUGACAUAAGACAAACUCUUAGUGCAAUGAUUAAGGGGUGUCAAAAAUUACAGAAGGUUGCAAGUUUCAUUCCCCAUAGUAGCAAUUUUUUUUGACACCCCUUUGUAUAAUUUCUGGCUCCGCCACUGCUACUUCUCUUUCGACAAACCAUAAAACCAGAACCAAAAGAGAUGGCCUCCUUCACAUAUUCAUUUGGCAGUCACUUCAUAAAUCGUGAAUCUGAUUUUAGUGGUCAAUGAAGUGAGACGAGAACCAUAAGGUCUCAAAUUCAAAUCUUAUCGAAAUCGCAUUCCGACCCCGAUAUCGCAUAAGUCAAUUAUGGGUCAAGCUUCUUCAUAUUUCCAACUUCAACUUUUUUCCAAUUUCCGCUAAAAUGGCUCAAAUUCUACGGACCACCAAAUCUGAAUCCAGACGCGCGCCUAAGUCCAAAAUCACCAUAAGAAGUUGUUGAGAUUAUCCGCAACCCAUUCCGGGUCCGUUUACCCAAAGUCCAAUUCCAAUCAGCUUUUCACCGUUCAAACUUCCAUAACUAAAUUCCUUCUUCCAAUUUGACUCUAAACCAUCCAUAAACUGAAUUCCACCAUGCACGCAAGUCGAUACUCAUAUUCUGAAGCUGUUCGAGACCUUACGCCGUUAAACGAAGCUUAAUUUCUCAAAACGACCGAUCGGGUCGUUACAUCCUCCCCCUCUUAAAACCAAUAUUCGUCCUUAAACGUGCUAAGAUUCGCCUUGAAAUCCUCAAGCAACUGAGUACACACUUCCAACAUACACCCGCGGGUGAUCCCACGUCACCCCAAUCCACAUAAGCAUGGCGACAACAUCUCAACUGAAAUUUAGCCUUUCUAGCAAUAUCAAAAAACCUUCAAGCCAGAAUUCUCACAGACUCAAACUAUAUUUGGAAAAUGCUAUCAAAUAAAAAGUAGGACAAGUCCUUGCUACUUGUAACACUGGAAAAGGUCAACUUUAAAAGUAUGGAGCAGUCAAAUAUAGAACACACAUAGAUUUAUCUCCAUAACACACUAUAAGAGAAUCAAUAUCUAACAGCAUCGCAAGUAGUGUGACAUAAGUCAUAUCCUAUAGUAUUCAAUUCCAUGCACAUCAUACAACAACAACUCAAUAUAAUCCCACUUAGUGGGGUUUGGGAAGGGUAGUGUGUACGCAGACCUUACCCCUACCCUGGGGUAGAGAGGCUGUUUUUAAAAUAUCUUUAAUCUUUAGCCACUGCUUUAAUAACUUUAACUUCCCGGACGAAACUACAAUUCUGCUCAUGUCCUUAACUUUUGAACUUAACUUCAGCACUUCAGAAAAACAUGUCAUUGAUUUUGAACUUGUAACUCUAAGUUUAGGACUUCAGAACUGCAUUUCCUUAACUUUUGAACUUGUAACUGUAAGUUCAUGACCAAGUGUCCUUAACUUUUGAGCUUGUUAGUCUAAGUCAACAACAACAACCCAGUAUAAUCCCACUUAGUGGGGUCUGGGAAGCGUAGUGUGUACGCAGACCUUACCCCUAUCCUUGGGUAGAGAGGCUGUUUCCAAAUAGACCCCCGUCAUCCUUCUCUCCAAGAAUUUCCCACCUUGCUCUUGGGAAAACUCGAACUCACAACCUCUCGAUUGGAAGUGGGGGUUGCUUACCAUCAGAGCAACCCCUCGGUUGGAGGUGGGGUUGCACAUCAUACUUUAGUGCAAAUCCUAGCUCCAAAAUAAGGCAGCCCCAUACUAGGGAAACAACAUAAAGACGGUUUCAUCAUUAGGGAUGUUGAAUUAUCAGAAGAAAAAAAUGCAAGGCUUUGAAAGUUGUUUGAAAAGACUUGAUUUCAUGAAGAACAUAAAUUAUUUAAGCUGAGUAAAAGACCUGACUCACAUGCUCUCCUUUUUGAACUUUUUACAAGUAUGACAGCAACAACAAUAACAACAAUUAUCCAAUAUAGUUCCAUAAAGUGGGGUCUGGGAGGGUAGAGCUGUUUCCAAUCGACUUAUUACAAGUAUGACCUUUUUUCUAAAUAUAUAAGAAAAGACAGAGUAGAAUGUUUGGGUGAAGUGAACAACGCUCAUAAGUGUAUAAAGUAGAGAUUAAAUAAAGAAAAAAUGCUCAUGUUCUACAAAUGAAAUACAUUGAAAAAUUUCUUAAAACUCAAUAUUUCAAAAGGAACAGAAUCCAUCUUCAAACUCAAAAUCCAAGUAAAUUCAACCUAAAAGAAGCCUUUUUAUACAAUUACUGAACUCAAGAUACCCAAUAUAAUAUCGAGCAUGCAAUCACAAUAACAACACCAAAAGGUCUAGAAUUUCAAAAAACGAAAAAAGAAAAAAACUUUCAGCUUACCUAAGAGAAAACUGAGAUAGGACCGUCAAGAUCGAGAAUUGAAAAAAUAUAGGAAUGAAACUUCAAAAACUUCGGACGGUUUGGAACAACGUACCCUCGUAAUGCUUUUCAAACUUCAUAUUUUCCUCAUUCCUUCUUUAGCUUCAGACCACUGUCGGUUCCUCUAGAUUGCAAAUGGGUCGGAAAAUUUGAGGUAAAAUUAGAGAAUACAUUUACCACAAAAAAAGGAAUUGAGAUUUGAACAUAUACUUGAUCGAAUCAAAAUUUGUAAUUAGGGUUUUUGAAUCUCUACCAUAUGGUUCAUAUUUUGUGAUUUGAGUAGAUAGAUUUGAGACAUUUGAGGUUUUCGACUGUAGAGAACAUUGAGAAUUUUACAGAGAAGAGGGAGCAAACAAGUGGUACUGCAGAAAGAAAUCGAGCAAAGAGACAUUUGAUAAGUUUGAGGUUUUUGAUUAAGAAAU
rnacentral:lncRNA from 1 species